AAAGUUUACCUGCUGGCCAGGCCUAAUCACAAUGUUUGUUUAGCCAUCAGGAGAGGCCUAUUAUUGAAGAGUGUUAUUUCAGAAUGAUUGUGAAUAUAGAUUCCUAUGGCCGUCUAAACUAAAAGGUGGAGAAUGGAAAUGCUCCCUCUGUUUUCAGCCAGACUUCCAGUCCCACCAAGAGCCCUGAGCCAGUCCAUCAAGAGGAGGAGGUGGUGGAGACAGUGGUGCAGAAGAUCUCAGGGUGGAGAUAAAGGCUGAGCUGCCUGAACCGGACCUCACGCCCAAGCUGGACACACGCUACUUCGGA